rnacentral:tRNA from 1 species
AUCUAUGUAGUUUAAAAAAAAACACUAUAUUUUCAAUAUAGAAAUAACUUCAUUAGCUCCUAGAUG